UUGGAUCCAGACUUUGAUCAUGGCUCAGGAUGAACGCUAGCUACAGGCUUAACACAUGCAAGUCGAGGGGCAGCGGGAUUGAAGCUUGCUUCAAUUGCCGGCGACCGGCGCACGGGUGAGUAACGCGUAUCCAACCUUCCGUACACUCAGGGAUAGCCUUUCGGAAGGAAGAUUAAUACCUGACGGUAUGAUGAGAUUGCAUGAUAGCAUCAUUAAAGAUUUAUCGGUGUACGAUGGGGAUGCGUUCCAUUAGGUAGUAGGCGGGGUAACGGCCCACCUAGCCAACGAUGGAUAGGGGUUCUGAGAGGAAGGUCCCCCACAUUGGAACUGAGACACGGUCCAAACUCCCACGGGAGGCAGCAGUGAGGAAUAUUGGUCAAUGGACGAGAGUCUGAACCAGCCAAGUAGCGUGAAGGAUGAAGGUCCUACGGAUUGUAAACUUCUUUUAUAAGGGAAUAAACCCUCCCACGUGUGGGAGCUUGUAUGUACCUUAUGAAUAAGCAUCGGCUAACUCCGUGCCAGCAGCCGCGGUAAUACGGAGGAUGCGAGCGUUAUCCGGAUUUAUUGGGUUUAAAGGGAGCGCAGACGGGUCGUUAAGUCAGCUGUGAAAGUUUGGGGCUCAACCUUAAAAUUGCAGUUGAUACUGGCGUCCUUGAGUGCGGUUGAGGUGUGCGGAAUUCGUGGUGUAGCGGUGAAAUGCUUAGAUAUCACGAAGAACUCCGAUUGCGAAGGCAGCACACUAAUCCGUAACUGACGUUCAUGCUCGAAAGUGUGGGUAUCAAACAGGAUUAGAUACCCUGGUAGUCCACACGGUAAACGAUGGAUACUCGCUGUUGGCGAUAUACUGUCAGCGGCUUAGCGAAAGCGUUAAGUAUCCCACCUGGGGAGUACGCCGGCAACGGUGCAACUCAAAUGAAUUGACGGA
rnacentral:rRNA from 1 species